GAAAUUAAUUCUGAUCCGCCAUUUAAUUGGCACUCAGUACUUUCUGAAAAAAGAUUAAAAAAAAAAGAUAAAGACAUCUGCUCUUCUUUUUCCAAUUUGAUGAUUAUUAUGAUCCAUCGAAUUCAAAUCUGGCAUUACUGAUUCAAUCUCCCGAAUUAUGUUUUGUAAACCUAGCACCCAAUUGUCAGUAACCAUCUCUCCCUACAAUCGCCGACGGUAAAAUAUAGUGCAAAUCACUGUCUCCUCCAUGUGAGAAACUGAUUAUGAGAGACAGAUAGAGGGGCUAUUGCUGUGGCGGUGAUGGUGGUGGUGCGAUGGUGAUUACAGUUGGCGAAGAUAUUUGAUAUUCCUGGUUGUGGCGAAGAUGGGAGGUCGGCGUAAGUUUCGAAUCCGAAACUGUAUUCAGGGAGUCUGCUGUGGUGGAGAAUACAAAAGAGGUAACCAUUAUUUAUUCUUUCAAUUUUUGUCUUUAGAUGAAUAUUACAAAUUACAAUAUGAAUAAUAAAAAACUAUAUAAUUUUUUAGUAUAUUGCACCGAUAAUUCCUCUAUUUUGUUAUUUUGAUUUCUAUAAUUUUAAUUAGUUUAUAUUUGAUUUUAAAUUGUAGCCUAAUCGAUUAUAAUUGUUAUUAUUUUUUAAUUAAAAAAAGAUGGUAUAUAUCAUUUUUUAAAUAUAAAAUUAUAAACUUAUUCAACUCAGUGAGUUAAUCUAAAUUAAUUCAGUGAUAUUUUCUGUCAAAAACACUAAGAGCUUUAUUAAUUAGACUAAAUUGACACAAAAUUUAAUAAUAAUAACUAAAAUUAGAGAUUUUUGGUGAAAAGCUCCACCUAUUGGGCCUUUUUUAUGUGAAGAUCACGUAAUAAAAUAUUGGUUCCAAAAAUACCUCAAAUAAAAAAAUAUAGUGAAAAGACUGAAAUACUCUUUCAUAUAAAUAGGCAAAUAUCAAACGAUGGAACCGUUUAUCUCCCUCACUUUGUUUCAUCGCUUGAACUCGUUGCUCUGAAAACAAAUAAUAGAAGUACACAGUAACAGAGUAAAAUUUUACUGUCAUUGUAUCAAAAAAACAAAAA